CGUGGAUAACCUGCCUCAAGGCUGGGGAUAACAUUUGGAAACAGAUGCUAAUACCGAAUAAAACUUAGUAUCGCAUGAUAUCAAGUUAAAAGGCGCUACGGCGUCACCUAGAGAUGGAUCCGCGGUGCAUUAGUUAGUUGGUGGGGUAAAGGCUUACCAAGACAAUGAUGCAUAGCCGAGUUGAGAGACUGAUCGGCCACAUUGGGACUGAGACACGGCCCAAACUCCUACGGGAGGCUGCAGUAGGGAAUCUUCCACAAUGGGCGCAAGCCUGAUGGAGCAACGCCGCGUGUGUGAUGAAGGCUUUCGGGUCGUAAAGCACUGUUGUAUGGGAAGAAAUGCUAAAAUAGGGAAUGAUUUUAGUUUGACGGUACCAUACCAGAAAGGGACGGCUAAAUACGUGCCAGCAGCCGCGGUAAUACGUAUGUCCCGAGCGUUAUCCGGAUUUAUUGGGCGUAAAGCGAGCGCAGACGGUUGAUUAAGUCUGAUGUGAAAGCCCGGAGCUCAACUCCGGAAUGGCAUUGGAAACUGGUUAACUUGAGUGUUGUAGAGGUAAGUGGAACUCCAUGUGUAGCGGUGGAAUGCGUAGAUAUAUGGAAGAACACCAGUGGCGAAGGCGGCUUACUGGACAACAACUGACGUUGAGGCUCGAAAGUGUGGGUAGCAAACAGGAUUAGAUACCCUGGUAGUCCACACCGUAAACGAUGAAUACUAGGUGUUAGGAGGUUUCCGCCUCUUAGUGCCGAAGCUAACGCAUUAAGUAUUCCGCCUGGGGAGUACGACCGCAAGGUUGAAACUCAAAGGAAUUGACGGGGACCCGCACAAGCGGUGGAGCAUGUGGUUUAAUUCGAAGCAACGCGAAGAACCUUACCAGGUCUUGACAUCCUUUGAAGCUUUUAGAGAUAGAAGUGUUCU
rnacentral:rRNA from 1 species